UUAAUUUUUCGGAUUUUAUGCCGACCGCUCCUACCCGCGGUAUCAGCUACCGUAAAGACGAAUACACCACUAUAUAACAACAUAAACUAUAUUUUGUCUUCUUACACUUUCCCACACCCUUAAGAUCUACGUGCAAACCACUCCCCGAUUAUCACUCACGAGCCUUUGCUUUAUGAGUCGCACGUCCUUACGCGCGCGUGGGUAUUCUAUUCAUUCAAUGCGCUUUACCGAAACUUAGCCCUAGACCACUUCCUGCUCUAUAUCGACCAUGAACAACCACCGUCUACGACUCCGAUCACCUACGUCGAUCCCUUUUUAUAUAUCUGCCAAUCGGCUGAAUUGCUACUGAAUUUUUAUUUAAUUCAAUCUGCCUGAAUCGCGAUUUUCUCCUCGUAAGGUCAGUAUAAUUUUAUUUAUUUUCUCUUCUAAGCUCCAGAUCUUUCCUUUUAGUUUUUUCUGCAAAUUCGAAGAAUUUGUGAUUUUAAUUUUAAGAAUUUUUGGUUUGGUUAUUGAAGGGUUAAAAUGGAACCUAUGGACAUCGUUGGUAAAUCAAAGGAAGAUGCUUCACUUCCCAAAGGUUUCUUCUCUCUUCCCUCUUUAGUUUCCGUUCAUGUAUAAAUAUAUUCAGAAAAGAAUAAUUU
rnacentral:lncRNA from 1 species